rnacentral:lncRNA from 1 species
UAACUAGAUAUCACAGUGAUAAACCAUAACCAAACCUAUAUGAUUUACAUAAUGAAAAUAAAAGUGUUGUUAGAGAUGUGAAACCCCAAAAAGCAAAAGCAAAAGCAACUGCAAUAUACAACUCUUUUGAUACUCAAGAACCUCUGAAACACCUUCCAACAAUCCCUGUUUUUUUCUUUACCCUAAAAGAUUAGGGUUUCAAUCCCAUCACAAUUCACAAUCUGAAACAACUCAUCUAAAACUUCUAUUGGCCCUCUGAACCAUGAGAAUCAUCAUCCUUUGAAGCCAGUUGUUGCUGCUGAUGCAUUCUAGCUUGACCCAUUUGAUAAAUUUGAUUCAAUGCUUGUUGAUUCAAAACCCCCAUACUACCAUCUUGCGAAAGCCCGAGUUCCAAACCCGGAAGCUGCUGUUGAUGAUGAUGAUCCUGAUUAUUAUGAUUACCCAAAAUUGAAGAGAAACUCAUAGGAACUAAAUUUGACCCGGUUUCUUGUUUUUCUGCGGCGACUAUUUGUAAAUCUGUGGUGGUGUCUGAGGGCUUGGUGGUAUCGGUCAUGGUGAGUGGUGGUGGUGGUGGGUUGAAAAUGGAAAGUGAUGUGGUGUGGUGUGGUGGCUGAGGAUGAUGAAUUGAUGAUGCUCUCAGCUCUUGGGAUUAUCAAAUAGACAAAUACUGUGUUGUGUG